AUCAACUAGGGAUCUUGUUAAAAUGCAGAGUCUGAUUCAGAAGGUCAGGCUGGAGCGGAGGUUCUGCAUUUUUAACUAGCUCCCAGGUGAUGCUGA
rnacentral:pre_miRNA from 1 species